rnacentral:rRNA from 1 species
AGUGAACGCUGGCGGUAGGCCUAACACAUGCAAGUCGAACGGCAGCACAGUAAGGGCUUGCUCUUACGGGUGGCGAGUGGCGGACGGGUGGGGAAUACAUCGGAAUCUACUUUUUCGUGGGGGAUAACGUAGGGAAACUUACGCUAAUACCGCAUACGACCUACGGGUGAAAGCAGGGGAUCUUCGGACCUUGCGCGAUUGAAUGAGCCGAUGUCGGAUUAGCUAGUUGGCGGGGUAAAGGCCCACCAAGGCGACGAUCCGUAGCUGGUCUGAGAGGAUGAUCAGCCACACUGGAACUGAGACACGGUCCAGACUCCUACGGGAGGCAGCAGUGGGGAAUAUUGGACAAUGGGCGCAAGCCUGAUCCAGCCAUACCGCGUGGGUGAAGAAGGCCUUCGGGUUGUAAAGCCCUUUUGUUGGGAAAGAAAAGCAGCAGGUUAAUACCCCGCUGUUCUGACGGUACCCAAAGAAUAAGCACCGGCUAACUUCGUG